GGAAGCGUUCGUAGUCUGGUGACUGCCCCGGUCUUCAAAACCGGUGAGGUGCCGAACAGGCGCCUGGUGGGUUCGAUUCCCAUCCGCUUCCG
rnacentral:tRNA from 1 species